rfam:Cricetulus griseus cell line CHO-K1, whole genome shotgun sequence.
GGUUACUGUGAAGGCCAUCUGGCUGUGACAUCUGUCACCCCCUUGGUCCCCAGGGUCGAUGUGGUUGAUGUGGCUGCUAGGCAGGUUUCUCCUUCCCCCUCAUCACUCCAUAUAUGUCCCUCCCAAAGCUGCCACUUGGUUGAAGAGGGCUGUGUUAUUGUUGUUGUUUUUCUCUUCUUUUCUUUUUUUGGCAAGGGUAUAUAGCUGGGCUUCCCUGCUAGAACCUCCAAGUAAGCUCUCUAAACAAACACACAACUGGGCAGAUAGCUCAGUCUGGAAGUGUUUAUCUUGCACAUGAGGCUGUCAAUUUGAU